UACAGAGGUCUCAAGCGUUGUUCGGAUUCAUUGGGCGUAAAGGGUGCGUAGGCGGCGCGGUAAGUCGGGGGGGAAAUUUCGAGGCUUAACUUCGAAACUGCAUUCGAUACUGCCGUGCUCGAGGACUGGAGAGGAGACUGGAAUUUACGGUGUAGCGGUGAAAUGCGUAGAUAUCGUAAGGAAGACCAGUGGCGAAGGCGGGUCUCUGGACAGUUCCUGACGCUGAGGCACGAAGGCCAGGGGAGCAAACGGG
rnacentral:rRNA from 1 species